rnacentral:rRNA from 1 species
GAUGAACGCUGGCGGCGUGCCUAAUACAUGCAAGUCGAGCGAACAGAUGAGGAGCUUGCUCCUCUGACGUUAGCGGCGGACGGGUGAGUAACACGUGGAUAACCUACCUAUAAGACUGGGAUAACUUCGGGAAACCGGAGCUAAUACCGGAUAAUAUAUUGAACCGCAUGGUUCAAUAGUGAAAGACGGUUUUGCUGUCACUUAUAGAUGGAUCCGCGCCGCAUUAGCUAGUUGGUAAGGUAACGGCUUACCAAGGCAACGAUGCGUAGCCGACCUGAGAGGGUGAUCGGCCACACUGGAACUGAGACACGGUCCAGACUCCUACGGGAGGCAGCAGUAGGGAAUCUUCCGCAAUGGGCGAAAGCCUGACGGAGCAACGCCGCGUGAGUGAUGAAGGUCUUCGGAUCGUAAAACGCUGUUAUUAGGGAAGAACAAAUGUGUAAGUAACUAUGCACGUCUUGACGGCACCUAAUCAGAAAGCCACGGCUACUACGUG